GUAAGGAAAGCUACGGCGCUUGAGGAGCGGUCUGCGGCCCAUCAGCUAGUUGGUAGGGUAAAGGCCUACCAAUGCGAAGACGGGUAUGGGGUGUGAGAGCACUGCCCCCCACAAUGGGACUGAGACACGGCCCAUACUCCUACGGGAGGCAGCAGCAGGGAAUAUUGCACAAAUGGACGGAAGUCUGAUGCAACGACGCCGCGUGAGUGAAGAAGGCCUUCGGGUUGUAAAACUCUUUUGAGGGGGAAGAGCGAGGACGGUACCCCUGGAAUAAGCGUCGGCUAACUACGUGCCAGCAGCCGCGGUAAGACGUAGGACGCGAGCGUUAUCCGGAUUUACUGGGCGUAAAGCGUCUGUAGGCGGAUGUGUAAGUUGGGCGUGAAAGCUCCGGGCUUAACCCGGAGAGGCCGUUCAAAUACUGCAUAACUUGAGGGUGUCAGAGGGGAGCGGAAUUCCCGGUGUAGCGGUAAAAUGCGCAGAGAUCGGGAGGAACACCAGUGGCGGAGGCGGUUCCCUGGGGCACACCUGACGCUGAGAGACGAAAGCUAGGGGAGCGAACAGGAUUAGAGACCCUGGUAGUCCUAGCCCUAAACGAUGAAUGCUAGGUGUGGGAUCGAAUGGUUCCGUGCCGGAGCGAACGCGAUAAG
rnacentral:rRNA from 1 species